rnacentral:tRNA from 1 species
GCUCCGGUAGUAUAGCCCGGUUAAGUAUACCGGCCUUUCGAGCCGGUGGUCGCGGGUUCAAAUCCCGCCCGGAGCACCA